rnacentral:rRNA from 1 species
GACGAACCGUGCGAACGUUAUUCGGAAUCACUGGGCGUAAAGCGCACGUAGGCGGACUCUUAAGUCAGGGGUGAAAUCCUGGAGCUCAACUCCAGAACUGCCUUUGAUACUGAGAGCCUUGAGUUCGGGAGAGGUGAGUGGAACUGCGAGUGUAGAGGUGAAAUUCGUAGAUAUUCGCAAGAACACCAGUGGCGAAGGCGGCUCACUGGCCCGAUACUGACGCUGAGGUGCGAAAGCGUGGGGAGCAAACAGG